AUGAAGCCCAAUUCGCCUUCUAACCCUAAUUCUAUCGCCACACUUCUAAAUUCUAGAAUUAUCUCCUCAAUCUAUUCAUCAUCGUCUUCAACGCGAAGCAGUUAAGCCCUAAUCUUUUUUCCUUUGUUCUCCAUUCCACAUGUUCCCUCCUCUCGCUUAUCUCGUGUCGUUACGAUCUCUUCGCCUUUCGCGGCGGCUGAUUCCGUUUCGGUGUCUGGAAUCGAAGAAUCGGAGAUGAUGACGAGUUUCAAGUUUCAACUCUUGGUGGUAUCGUUUUACAAGUUUGCUGAUUUUCCUGACCAUGUCGUUUUGCGUAAACCACUAAAAAGCUGCUAGGAUCGUCAUGGUGAGCAUCCAUACACAAAGGCUCAUCAAACUUUAUGGACCAUAAUGGGAGAAGCCCUUUUCUUGAUGGUCUUUCAUCAUAUAGCAAUGGGUAAUACAACGGAAGUUCGGUGCAAAACGCAUGAUUUGGCUUGCAUCCUUCACAUUGGAUUGAUGUUGAACAACCUAAUGAGAAUGUUUAUAUUGAUGCAGUUGCAUGUAUGAAGAGAAUUGUUGAAAAGGGGAAAGCCAUUGCAGCUAAUGUAGAAGGUAUUGAGAAUCAUUGGGGAACCUCUGUUUCUUGUUGGUUGACAUUUGUUUAUUUAAUGUUUUUUAGACGGCAUAAUUACAUUUGAUUACAAAUUUAAAAUGCACUUAUGGGGUGUUUGGAUGUGCACUCUGACUACGUGAAUUGUCUUGACUAUGU